AAGUUUAUGGAUCGCAGUGGCUUGAGUUGUUCGACUUUUUGUGUGUUGAAAAGAUUUGAAAAAUCCAUUCUCUGGAAGAACACAUCAGAGGAUUGGAAAUAAAGUCAGAAGAAAGGAUAAGAGGAGAAGAAAGACGUCUGAAAGAAACUAUUGCUAAACAAGAAAAAGAAAACAUGAUGGAAUUAGAACACUAUUCCAGUAGGUAUGUUGAGAAUAA